UACGAAGGGAGCUAGCGUUGUUCGGAAUUACUGGGCGUAAAGGGCGCGUAGGCGGUUUUGUAAGUCAGAUGUGAAAGCCCCGGGCUUAACCUGGGAGGUGCAUUUGAAACUGCAAGGCUUGAGAUCGAGAGAGGAAAGUGGAAUUACGAGUGUAGAGGUGAAAUUCGUAGAUAUUCGUAAGAACACCAGUGGCGAAGGCGGCUUUCUGGCUCGAUACUGACGCUAAGGCGCGAAAGCGUGGGGAGCAAACAGG
rnacentral:rRNA from 1 species